CAGUAGCCGCGGGAAUACGUAGGGUGCAAGCGUUAAUCGGAAUUACUGGGCGUAAAGCGUGCGCAGGCGGUUCUAUAAGACAGAUGUGAAAUCCCCGGGCUCAACCUGGGAACUGCAUUUGUGACUGUAGAGCUGGAGUACGGCAGAGGGGGAUGGAAUUCCGCGUGUAGCAGUGAAAUGCGUAGAUAUGCGGAGGAACACCGAUGGCGAAGGCAAUCCCCUGGGCCUGUACUGACGUUCAUGCACGAAAGCGUGGGGAGCAAACAGGAUUAGAUACCCCAGUAGUCCCUGUCUCUUAUAC
rnacentral:rRNA from 1 species